GGGCCCAUAGCUCAGCGGUAGAGUGCUUCCUUUGCAAGGAGGAUGCCCUGGGUUCGAAUCCCAGUGGGUCCA
rnacentral:tRNA from 1 species